CAAUCGGGAAAAACCCUGCGGAGAGCCAACCCUCGCCCAGCCCGAAGCCCUCCAGGGCACCAGCCAGGCCCAUUUGCACCCCACUGAUAAUGACCGCAGGGGACGCACGCUACCACACUGGGCUGGGAUGCCGAGGGACCGGGACGCCCGGGUCCCCAGGUGGAUGACAACGAGGGACCUGGAGAAGGUGAUCGAGGCAAGGCCAAAACGAAGGCCACUUCCUACUAGUGGGGGAACCUUUAGGCCGUGGGAUAGAGGCUAACUGAGGAGGGCUUAAUUUUUUUUUAAAGAUUUCUAUUUAUUUAUCAUGAGAGACACACACACAGAGAGGCAGAGACAUAGGCAGAGGGAGAAGCAGGCUCCCUGCGGGGAGUCCCAUGCGGAACUCGAUCCCAGGAUCCCGGGCAGCUGCUCAACCCUGAGCCACCCAGAUGCCCCCUGAGGAGGGCUUUAUUGAAUCAGUCAGGGCUCUCCAGAUUGUCUCAGGUUCCUCUUUCCUCCGGCUCGGCUGGCCUGCACCACCCACCUACGCACCCCGGGACUGCAUCAAUAGCCAUUUUCGGCAGUAGGUGGCCCCCACGACGAGAAGGAUCCCCACCAGGGCUGCGAUGGAGGUGGAGGCCAAGGCUUUGGGCGCAGGGCUCCAAGCUGGGGACAGGAGAUGAGAAUUAGGAACGGGGCACAUGGAGGAUCACAAACGGGCCUCACCGAGGACUGGGAGCGUCAUGGGUGCCGAGCUGCUGCGGACCACCAGGCCGUCAAGAUUGAAGCGUGCGUGGCAGGUCACCGUCUGCCUGAAGUCUCGGCGCCUGGCGGGUAACUUGUAAGUCAGCGUCACGUUGGCCAGAUCAGGGCUGGUGUGGCGCUUCAGGUUCUCAGAGUAGAUGACCCGGCCGCCAAGCCUCAGAGUCACCACCAGGAAGCCCACGGGGAAUACGUGCGUCAGGUGGCAGCGCAGCGUGUACUCGCUGCCCGCUAAGACCGGCGGCUCCAGGAUCACUCUUUGCGGCCGUUCUAGAGCAAGAGGGGGCCUCUGAGCCAGGUCCGCGUGCGCCCCCUAGCGCAACUGGUGACGAAGCAGUGCACCUCGGAGCUCCAGGCCCUCACGUCCAGCAGCUGGUAGGAUACCCAGCCGGGCCCCCGGAGCGUUCCGCCCCGCCGCAGCCGAGUGCUGAGGCCGGAAUCCUCCGGCAAGGGGCAGCUGCUGCUGCAGUUGAGCCACACUGAGCCCCCCGGCGGCACGGCCUUGAACUUGGGGCUUAUGCGCACCCAGAACGGCGCGGAGGUCCCCGAGGGCGCCGGGGAGCUGCCUCCCGGGCCUGGC